UUGAAAGUGUUGCACCAUAUUAAG
rnacentral:siRNA from 1 species